rnacentral:rRNA from 1 species
GGGUUGUGAGGUUAAGCGACUAAGCGUACACGGUGGAUGCCCUGGCAGUCAGAGGCGAUGAAGGACGUGCUAAUCUGCGAUAAGCGUCGGUAAGGUGAUAUGAACCGUUAUAACCGGCGAUUUCCGAAUGGGGAAACCCAGUGUGUUUCGACACACUAUCAUUAACUGAAUCCAUAGGUUAAUGAGGCGAACCGGGGGAACUGAAACAUCUAAGUACCCCGAGGAAAAGAAAUCAACCGAGAUUCCCCCAGUAGCGGCGAGCGAACGGGGAGCAGCCCAGAGCCUGAAUCAGUGUGUGUGUUAGUGGAAGCGUCUGGAAAGGCGUGCGAUACAGGGUGACAGCCCCGUACACAAAAAUGCACAUACUGUGAGCUCGAUGAGUAGGGCGGGACACGUGGUAUCCUGUCUGAAUAUGGGGGGACCAUCCUCCAAGGCUAAAUACUCCUGACUGACCGAUAGUGAACCAGUACCGUGAGGGAAAGGCGAAAAGAACCCCGGCGAGGGGAGUGAAAAAGAACCUGAAACCGUGUACGUACAAGCAGUGGGAGCCUCUUUAUGGGGUGACUGCGUACCUUUUGUAUAAUGGGUCAGCGACUUAUAUUCUGUAGCAAGGUUAACCGAAUAGGGGAGCCGAAGGGAAACCGAGUCUUAACUGGGCGUUAAGUUGCAGGGUAUAGACCCGAAACCCGGUGAUCUAGCCAUGGGCAGGUUGAAGGUUGGGUAACACUAACUGGAGGACCGAACCGACUAAUGUUGAAAAAUUAGCGGAUGACUUGUGGCUGGGGGUGAAAGGCCAAUCAAACCGGGAGAUAGCUGGUUCUCCCCGAAAGCUAUUUAGGUAGCGCCUCGUGAAUUCAUCUCCGGGGGUAGAGCACUGUUUCGGCAAGGGGGUCAUCCCGACUUACCAACCCGAUGCAAACUGCGAAUACCGGAGAAUGUUAUCACGGGAGACACACGGCGGGUGCUAACGUCCGUCGUGAAGAGGGAAACAACCCAGACCGCCAGCUAAGGUCCCAAAGUCAUGGUUAAGUGGGAAACGAUGUGGGAAGGCCCAGACAGCCAGGAUGUUGGCUUAGAAGCAGCCAUCAUUUAAAGAAAGCGUAAUAGCUCACUGGUCGAGUCGGCCUGCGCGGAAGAUGUAACGGGGCUAAACCAUGCACCGAAGCUGCGGCAGCGACACUAUGUGUUGUUGGGUAGGGGAGCGUUCUGUAAGCCUGUGAAGGUGUGCUGUGAGGCAUGCUGGAGGUAUCAGAAGUGCGAAUGCUGACAUAAGUAACGAUAAAGCGGGUGAAAAGCCCGCUCGCCGGAAGACCAAGGGUUCCUGUCCAACGUUAAUCGGGGCAGGGUGAGUCGACCCCUAAGGCGAGGCCGAAAGGCGUAGUCGAUGGGAAACAGGUUAAUAUUCCUGUACUUGGUGUUACUGCGAAGGGGGGACGGAGAAGGCUAUGUUGGCCGGGCGACGGUUGUCCCGGUUUAAGCGUGUAGGCUGGUUUUCCAGGCAAAUCCGGAAAAUCAAGGCUGAGGCGUGAUGACGAGGCACUACGGUGCUGAAGCGACAAAUGCCCUGCUUCCAGGAAAAGCCUCUAAGCAUCAGGUAACAUCAAAUCGUACCCCAAACCGACACAGGUGGUCAGGUAGAGAAUACCAAGGCGCUUGAGAGAACUCGGGUGAAGGAACUAGGCAAAAUGGUGCCGUAACUUCGGGAGAAGGCACGCUGAUAGGUAGGUGAAGCGACUUGCUCGUGGAGCUGAAAUCAGUCGAAGAUACCAGCUGGCUGCAACUGUUUAUUAAAAACACAGCACUGUGCAAACACGAAAGUGGACGUAUACGGUGUGACGCCUGCCCGGUGCCGGAAGGUUAAUUGAUGGGGUCAGCCGCAAGGCGAAGCUCUUGAUCGAAGCCCCGGUAAACGGCGGCCGUAACUAUAACGGUCCUAAGGUAGCGAAAUUCCUUGUCGGGUAAGUUCCGACCUGCACGAAUGGCGUAAUGAUGGCCAGGCUGUCUCCACCCGAGACUCAGUGAAAUUGAACUCGCUGUGAAGAUGCAGUGUACCCGCGGCAAGACGGAAAGACCCCGUGAACCUUUACUAUAGCUUGACACUGAACAUUGAGCCUUGAUGUGUAGGAUAGGUGGGAGGCUUUGAAGCGUGGACGCCAGUCUGCGUGGAGCCGACCUUGAAAUACCACCCUUUAAUGUUUGAUGUUCUAACGUGGACCCGUAAUCCGGGUUGCGGACAGUGUCUGGUGGGUAGUUUGACUGGGGCGGUCUCCUCCUAAAGAGUAACGGAGGAGCACGAAGGUUGGCUAAUCCUGGUCGGACAUCAGGAGGUUAGUGCAAUGGCAUAAGCCAGCUUGACUGCGAGCGUGACGGCGCGAGCAGGUGCGAAAGCAGGUCAUAGUGAUCCGGUGGUUCUGAAUGGAAGGGCCAUCGCUCAACGGAUAAAAGGUACUCCGGGGAUAACAGGCUGAUACCGCCCAAGAGUUCAUAUCGACGGCGGUGUUUGGCACCUCGAUGUCGGCUCAUCACAUCCUGGGGCUGAAGUAGGUCCCAAGGGUAUGGCUGUUCGCCAUUUAAAGUGGUACGCGAGCUGGGUUUAGAACGUCGUGAGACAGUUCGGUCCCUAUCUGCCGUGGGCGCUGGAGAACUGAGGGGGGCUGCUCCUAGUACGAGAGGACCGGAGUGGACGCAUCACUGGUGUUCGGGUUGUCAUGCCAAUGGCACUGCCCGGUAGCUAAAUGCGGAAGAGAUAAGUGCUGAAAGCAUCUAAGCACGAAACUUGCCCCGAGAUGAGUUCUCCCUGAGACCUUGAGUCUCCUGAAGGAACGUUGAAGACGACGACGUUGAUAGGCCGGGUGUGUAAGCGCAGCGAUGCGUUGAGCUAACCGGUACUAAUGAACCGUGAGGCUUAACCUUACAACGCCGAAGGGGUUUUG